UUCGCCUUAUACACUUUGUUUUUAAGAAAGCAAAUCAUAUAAAGAUGUGGUGGUAAUUUUGAAAAUUUUGUGAACUUAUAGGCCCCAGUUGCAUUGGAAGCAAAACCAUAUACCUUUUAUGGUUUCGGUUAUUGUUUCGAUAGAUAUUUUUGGGGACCGAGACACUAACCUGGAUGACACGGCUUUAUCACUUUCUGGUGCUGGGAUGGACUGGAUUGCUAGCUCAUCCUGAGUCUUGACCGCUCGCUCUCCUUCAGCCUUGACCGUUGGGUGGACUUCAAUCUUUGACCGGAGGGGGGAGGUACCUGCAAUGGCACUCCGACGCUCAAGUUAGGAGUGGUUUUGGGAAUUGUGUAUCACAAUUGUAUGUUUGAGUUCUGCUCAAACGUAAGUAGAGUGUGAGUGGAAUGUGAUUGGAAGAUGAUUAGAAGGUGAUUGGAAGUACCUGGCUUGUGGCCCUGACUCUCUAUUUAUAAUUUGUCUCAUGGACCUUGAACUGAUAUAAGCCCAACAGAAUAAAAUAUAAACAGAAUAUAAUAUAAACAGACUUACCUGAAAAUCUGGUUAGUUGCUAAAUAUCUUUAAAUAGAUAUUGUUGAUUAUCCCUUGAUUAUUUUAUCUUCUGCUUAUCAAUAUCUUUAAUAAGAUAUUCUUGAUUAUCCUUUGAUUAUUUUAUAUCUUUAAUAAGAUAUAUCGUAACCGCUCGGCCUAGAUAUCAUACUGUACAGUUAUUAAAGAACCAAGGUUGAAA
rnacentral:lncRNA from 1 species